AUUCGUUGGCAAUAUAUAAACUUGAAGUUCAGAAAUCCUUAUUCGCAGGCCUGUCUCCCAAAAGUCAAGAUGAUAUUUUGUAUCAAAGGUGAUCUACAACAAAAGAUGAGUAAUGAAUAAUGAGUGUCUCCAAUAACCUCAAUAACAACAGCCUGUCGCAUAUGCAUGUUAUUCGACACUUAAACCAUCGAUCUAAAUAUCGAGAACUGUUGCUGGUGCUCCUUUUUGUGGGCCUUACUGCAGCAAUGAGAGGAGGCCGCCCGGAUUUUUACCCGCCUCCUAUUCAUCGAUAAUAUAUUACCAUAGAUUACCAUGAAGAUGAUAUUCCUUGACGCCCAACUACUUUUAUAAAAAGAAAGAUACUUCUACAGAAUUUCUACACAACAGCUCAGCUGCUAAUGUUACUGAAUAAAAUGAUUUCUCCAACUCAUGUGAAAGGUA